UACGUAGGCAGCAAGCGUUGUUCGGAGUUACUGGGCGUAAAGGGUGUGUAGGCGGUUCUCUAAGUUUGGUGUGAAAUCUCCCGGCUCAACUGGGAGGGUGCGCCGAAAACUGGAGAGCUAGAGUACUGGAUGGGAGAGUGGAAUUCCUGGUGUAGCGGUGAAAUGCGUAGAUAUCAGGAGGAACACCGGUGGUGUAGACGGCUCUCUGGACAGUAACUGACGCUGAGACACGAAAGCGUGGGGAGCAAACAGG
rnacentral:rRNA from 1 species